UCCUUCUCACUAGAGCCUCCAUCAAAACAUGGCUGUCCUGGUGCUGUUGCUCUGCCUGGUGACACUUCCAAGCUGUGUCCUGUCCCAGGUGCAGCUGAAGGAGUCAGGACCUGGUCUGGUGAAGCCCUCAGAGACCCUGUCCCUCACCUGCACUGUCUCUGGGUUCUCACUAACCAGCUAUAGUGUAAGCUGGGUUCGCCAGCCUUCAGGAAAAGGUCCUGAGUGGAUGGGAAGAAUGUGGUAUGAUGGAGACACAGCAUAUAAUUCAGCUCUCAAAUCCCGACUGAGCAUCAGCAGGGACACCUCCAAGAACCAAGUUUUCUUAAAAAUGAACAGUCUGCAAACUGAUGACACAGGCACUUACUACUGUACCAGAGACACAGUGAGGGAAGUCCAGUGUGAACUUGCACAAAAACUUCCUACAGGGAUUCUUAGGACCAGCAGGGGGCGCAGAGGAUCAACAAGUUCUUUCCAGAAUCACUUCAAAAUCUAG